UACGAGUGCCUCAAGCGUUAUCCGGAAUCAUUGGGCGUAAAGGGUGUGUAGGCGGUCCUAUUAGUCUUCUGUUAAAUUCUUCGGCUUAACCGGGGGCAUGCAGAGGAAACGGUAGGACUUGAGGGUGCGAGGGGUGAAUGGAACUCAUAGUGUAGGGGUGAAAUCCGUUGAUAUUAUGGGGAACACCAAAAGCGAAGGCAGUUCACUGGCGCAUUCCUGACGUUGAAACACGAAAGCGUGGGUAGCGAAUGGGAUUAGAAACCCCG
rnacentral:rRNA from 1 species